AACGAACGCUGGCGGCAGGCUUAACACAUGCAAGUCGAACGCCCCGCAAGGGGAGUGGCAGACGGGUGAGUAACGCGUGGGAACAUACCCUUUUCUACGGAAUAGCUCUGGGAAACUGGAAUUAAUACCGUAUACGCCCUACGGGGGAAAGAUUUAUCGGGGAAGGAUUGGCCCGCGUUGGAUUAGCUAGCUGGUGGGGUAAAGGCCUACCAAGGCGACGAUCCAUAGCUGGUCUGAGAGGAUGAUCAGCCACAUUGGGACUGAGACACGGCCCAAACUCCGAAGGGAGGAAGCAGUGGGGAAUAUUGGAUAAUGGGCGAAAGCAUGAUCCAGCCAUGACGCGUGAGUGAUGAAGGCCUUAGGGUUGUAAAGCUCUUUCACCGAUGAAGAUAAUGACGGUAGUCGGAGAAGAAGCCCCGGCUAACUUCGUGCCAGCAGCCGCGGUAACAC
rnacentral:rRNA from 1 species